GUAGUUUUGAACUAGUGAAAGUCUGUUCUGAAAAGAGAAGCUCUUUAAAGAGCAGAAGUAUAAAAGCUAUAAAUAUAUCAUGAAACAGGCAGCACAACCACGUAGCAUUUUGAAUUACUAAACGGAGAAAGAUGAAGAAGAAGAGAAUGAGAAAAAAGAAAAACAUUUCAGUCAAAGCUCAUAAGAAGGGGAAGCAUAUUAUUAGGGCUAGGGAAAAAGCAGCACAAAACGUGAGUCCAGUUGUUGAGAAGUACUGGUUUCAAAGGUACAAUCUCUUCUCCAAAUACGACGAGGGUAUCACAAUGGACGAGGAAGGAUGGUAUUCCGUCACGCCCGAACAGAUUGCGAUUCGACACGCUCUGAGGUGUGUCGCUGCCACUGCCAAACCCAAUCCGGUUGUUAUCGAUUGCUUUGCUGGGGUUGGUGGCAAUGCCAUUCAGUUUGCUAGAAUGUGCUGUUAUGUUGUUGCCAUUGACAUUGAUCCUAAAAGACUUGAAUUGGCUAUUAACAAUGCCAAAAUUUAUGGGGUCCAACAUUGUAUCGAUUUCAUAGUUGGGGACUUCUUCCAACUCGCCCCGUCGUUGAAGGGGGACAUAGUGUUUUUAGCACCACCAUGGGGAGGUCCAUCAUACAAAAGUAUUGAAAAUUUUACACUUGAUUUUCUCAAGCCAAGAAAUGGCUUCACCAUAUUUCAGUUUGCUCAAACAAUAACACCUAACAUCAUUAUGUUCUUACCUCGGAAUGUGGACUUGCAACAAGUGGAAGAACUGUCUUGGUUGUCUUCUCCUCCUCUAGAAGUUGAGAUUGAAGAAAAUUUUUUGCAAAACAAUGUAAAGGGUGUAACCGCGUACUUUGGAGGUGCAGCAUGCCAUUAACUUGGGAUGGAAUAUGGAGGAUAAUUUUUAAGGGCUGAAUUGGGGGAUAAUUUUUAAGGCCUUCAAGGCAGCAAUUCAAGCUCAUGAUGAGAGGAUGGCUUGUGGAUUUCAGGAGGUUUGCAAAGUUAAGUUGUUCUUUAUGCGUGUACUUUGAACUUAUGUUUGGUUAAAGUUGUUUUUUAGGCUGUUCAUGGUGUUGUGUGGUGAUUGAUGAAAUCUUGGGAAAUUGCUGUCAUUUGAAAAGAUUUUGCAUUUGUCUAUGAUAUAGCACCCUGUACCACAUAAGAUGCUCAAUAUUACCAAGCAAAUAAUGCACACAUAAAUCUUUGGCUUUGGCAUUAUAAAAUACAUCCGUAACAAAUUCAACUGAAAUUUUUUUUAUAUAAUUAUCAUUCCACAAGCA